UUUCUAGCCGCCCGUACCCCAAACCGACUCAGGUGGUUAGGUAGAGAAUACCAAGGCGAUCGAGUGAAUCGUGGUUAAGGAAUUCGGCAAAAUACCCCCGUAACUUCGGGAGAAGGGGGGCCCAGAGGGUGACGGGACUUGCUCCCCGAGCCUGAACGGCCGCAGAGACCAGGGAGAAGCGACUGUUUACUAAAAACACAGGUCCGUGCCAAGUCGCAAGACGAUGUAUACGGACUGACGCCUGCCCGGUGCUGGAACGUUAAGGGGACCGGUUAGCCUCACGGCGAAGCUGAGAACUUAAGCGCCAGUAAACGGCGGUGGUAACUAUAACCAUCCUAAGGUAGCGAAAUUCCUUGUCGGGUAAGUUCCGACCUGCACGAAUGGCGUAACGACUUCUCCACUGUCUCAACCACGAACUCGGCGAAAUUGCACUACGAGUAAAGAUGCUCGUUACGCGCAGAGGGACGGAAAGACCCCGGGACCUUUACUACAGCUUGGUAUUGGUGUUCGGUACGGCUUGUGUAGGAUAGGUGGGAGACUGUGAAGCUGACACGCCAGUGUCGGUGGAGUCAACGUUGAAAUACCACUCUGGUCGUUCUGGAUAUCUAACCUAGGUCCGUAAUCCGGAUCAGGGACAGUGCCUGGUGGGUAGUUUAACUGGGGCGGUUGCCUCCUAAAAGGUAACGGAGGCGCCCAAAGGUUCCCUCAGCCUGGUUGGCAAUCAGGUUUCGAGUGUAAGUGCACAAGGGAGCUUGACUGUGAGACUGACAAGUCGAACAGGGACGAAAGUCGGGACUAGUGAUCCGGCGGUGGCUUGUGGAAGCGCCGUCGCUCAACGGAUAAAAGGUACCCCGGGGAUAACAGGCUGAUCUUGCCCAAGAGUCCAUAUCGACGGCAUGGUUUGGCACCUCGACGUCGGCUCGUCGCAUCCUGGCUGGAGUAGGUCCCAAGGGUUGGGCUGUUCGCCCAUUAAAGCGGUACGCGAGCUGGGUUUAGAACGUCGUGAGACAGUUCGGUCCCUAUCCUCUGCGCGCGCAGGAAACUUGAGAAGGGCUGUCCCUAGUACGAGAGGACCGGGAUGGACGAACCUCUGGUGUGUCAGUUGUUCUGCCAAGAGCACCGCUGAUUAGCUACGUUCGGGAGUGAUAACCGCUGAAAGCAUCUAAGCGGGAAGCAUGCUUCAAGAUGAGGUUUCCAUGGGGUUUACCCCGAGAGGCUCCCAGCUAGACUACUGGGUUGAUAGGCCGGAUGUGGAAGUGCGGUAACGCAUGGAGCUGACCGGUACUAAUAAGCCGAUAACUUGACU
rnacentral:rRNA from 1 species